rnacentral:rRNA from 1 species
AGCAGCCGCGGUAAUUCCAGCUCCAAUAGCGUAUAUUAAAGUUGUUGCAGUUAAAAAGCUCGUAGUUGAAUUUCGGGAUUAGUAAGUUGGUCGUGCCUCUGGUAUGUACUGGCUUUACUGGUUCCUCCUUCUUGAAGAACUGUAAUGUCAUUAAUUUGGUGUUGCAGGGAAACAGGACUGUUACUUUGAAAAAAUUAGAGUGUUUAAAGCAGGCUAACGCUUGAAUACAUUAGCAUGGAAUAAUGAAAUAGGACGUUUGAUCCUAUUUUGUUGGUUUCUAGGAUUGACGUAAUGAUUAAUAGGGAUAGUUGGGGGCAUUAGUAUUCAAUUGUCAGAGGUGAAAUUCUUGGAUUUAUUGAAGACUAACUACUGCGAAAGCAUUUGCCAAGGAUGUUUUCAUUAAUCAAGAACGAAAGUUAGGGGAUCGAAGACGAUCAGAUACCGUCGUAGUCUUAACCAUAAACUAUGCCGACUAGGGAUCGGAUGAUGUUAAUUUUUUAAUGUACUCAUUCGACGCCUU